rnacentral:lncRNA from 1 species
AUAUAUAUAUAUAUAUAUAUACCCCCCCACUCUGAUUUCACAGUUUCUCACUUUAGUAUUCUGUAGUUUAAAAUAUAUCAAGUUAGUUCAUAUGGUUUCACACUUUCUCACUUCAGUGCCUUGUGGUUUAAAGUGUAUUAAGUUAGUACCUUGUGUUUUCAUUUUUCUCUUUUUAUUAUUCAAUUUACUAAUUUUUUUCGUUAAAUUAGCGACAAAGUUAAAAUUAAAGGGUACUAAAGUGAAUAUUCGAUAAACCUAUGUAGGGUAUCUGAAGUUUUUUGUAUAUAAUUUAACGAAAUAUUAACGGAGAAGAAAAAAAUCAGUGACAAAGUUAAAACUAAAUGGUACUAAAGUAAAUAUUCGAUAAAUCUAGUUAGGAUAUUUGAAGAUUUUUUAUAUAUAAUUUAACGAAAUAUUAACGGAGAAGAAAAAAAUCAGUGACAAAGUUAAAACUAAAGGGUACUAAAGUGAAUAUUCGAUAAACCUAUGUAGGGUAUCUGAAGUUUUUUGUAUAUAAUUUAACGAAAUAUUAACGGAGAAGAAAAAAAUCAGUGACAAAGUUAAAACUAAAUGGUACUAAAGUAAAUAUUCGAUAAAUCUAGUUAGGAUAUUUGAAGAUUUUUUAUAUAUAAUUUAAUAAAAUAUUAACAGAGGAGUUGACGCAAAGAGAAAAAUAAAAUCACAGGUACUAAAUUGAUGCAUUUUAAACCACAGUAUACUAAAGUGAGAAAGUUCGGGUACUAAAUUCAUACACUUUAAACCAUAAGAUACUAAAGUGAAAAAAUACGAAAUCACGGGGUGGUAUUU